UUCUGAGCACGUAUGUCUUUCUUUAGAGCCUGUGAUAUGACCUUGCAGGGCCGUUUGGCUUGCUUCACACGGGAGUCAAGAUUUCCUAGGCGAUUCCACCAAAGGAUCAAGAAACUGGAGGAACAACCCUCUCAGCUUUGGGUGUAUUCCCAAAUGAAACCUUCCACUGCUUCUCCACAGGCCGUGCCGUCUGCUUCCUACUUAGGACUUUCAAUCUUGCUGAUAUUGAGAGGGAUCAAUGGAGACUCAGUGACCCAGACAGAAGGUUCUGUUACCCUCUUUGAGGGGACACCUUUGACCCUGAAUUGCACUUACCAGAGUAGCUACACAGUUUUUGUUUUCUGGUAUGUCCAGUACCAAAACGAAGCUCCUCAAUUGUUCCUGAAAAGCUUAUCAGAAAACCAGAGGGCAGAGCAUCACGGUUUUCACGCCAGUCUUGUUAAGAGUGACGGCUCCUUCCACCUGCAGAAACGCUCUGUGAGAAUGUCAGACUCCGCUGUGUACUACUGCGUCCUAGGAGGCACAGUGAGAUCGCCUGCAGGGGGAGCCGAGCACAAACCCAGAGGGGGGCAGGAGGGCCCUGGAUGUGAGCAGCCUGGGAGGGGAGAAUGAUGAUUUCUCUCUAGUUAGAGUCUUGUGCUGGGCGCGGCCCCCAGGGAACAGAUACCUGAUGCCUCCGCCCUCAGGCACCCCGAGUUUUACUUCGAGCUAGGAAUGGAAGGAGGCAAUGUAGGUGAAAACUUAGAUUAUCAUUAUGCCUAUACAUAGAAUCCUAUAGUCAAUGGCCUUUUGUGUCUGGUUUCUUUCACACAGCAUCACCUUUUCAAGGUGUAUCCAUGUAUCAGUACUUUAGUACUUCUGUGGCUGCGCAAUAAUCCAUUGUAUGGAUACCCUAUAUUUUCUUUGUCCAUUCAUCAGUUGAUGGGCAUUUUGGUUGUUUCCACUUUUUGUGAAAACACUCAUGUACAGGAGCUCUGCUCUUUCAAACUUGAAUAUAUUUUAAGUUAGAGAUUUCUGGGUAUUUUUUCGUUUUGUUUUUUGCUUUAUUUGGGACUAACGUUUCUUUGUGGAUAUGCAAUUGAAUAAAUAUGAGAAAAUGCACCUUA